AACGAACGUUAGCGGCGCGCCUAACACAUGCAAGUCGAGCGAGAAAGGGGCAACCCCGGUAAAGCGGCGCACGGGUGAGUAACACGUAGGUAAUCUACCUUCUGGUGGUGGAUAACCUUCCGAAAGGAGGGCUAAUACAGCAUGAGACCACGGCUUCGCGAGGAGCAGGGGUCAAAGUCGGCCACUACAUGUAAGCUGACGCCAGAAGAUGAGCCUGCGGCCCAUCAGCUAGUUGGUAGGGUAACGGCCUACCAAGGCGAAGACGGGUAGCUGGUCUGAGAGGAUGAUCAGCCACACUGGAACUGAGACACGGUCCAGACUCCUACGGGAGGCAGCAGUGGGGGAAUCUUGCGCAAUGGGCGAAAGCCUGACGCAGCGACGCCGCGUGAGUGAUGAAGGCCU
rnacentral:rRNA from 1 species